UAUUUAUAUUGAUUUAUUCCAGAGCC
rnacentral:piRNA from 2 species